AUGGCUGCUGCUCUUGAUGUUCUGUUUACCGUUGGUUGUGUUCUUCUCCCAAAUCAGUGCUGGGAUCAAGCCCAGCACUUUGAACAUGCUGAACAUGAGAUGCAGCCUCAUCCCAGUUGGGAGAAAUUGCACUUUACUUCAUACUUCUCAAACUUAGAUAGGUAUCUCAAUAUAAGCAACACAGAAGGCAAAGGACCCAAGCUGAUGACCCAUCCUAAAGCAGACACAGGUGAGAGGCCUGAAGAUCCACUACUAGAUAUUCACCCACUUAGCAACAACAAAGAGAACUGCACAAAUGUUAUGUCACCCUCCUCAUGAGGAACCCUAGUAUGGAUCAUUACCACACUCAGGCUGCAGUGUUAACAAGUCUGGAGGCAUAAUCACAGAUUGUUCACUUCAUGUAUUCUGCUGUCUAUAACAUAGCUACUUAAUUUAUCAGAGGGACCCCAACAGACAACUUCUACAGAGAAAGAAGCUCCCUCAUGUCCCAACACAGUGGAUACAGAGUGAAAGUCCAGGAACCACACUAAUAAGCUACAGGGAAACUAUAAAACAUAGACCAAGUGGAAUUAAACCUAACACUACACAACAAACUAACAUUCUAGACCACAGUGUCAAGAUAAAGCUGUUCCGUUCACUUAAAAGUGGAAGAGAUAUCCAACCCAACAGAAACAGAAAUAUAAGAAACAUUUUUUUAAAAAGGUAACAUAAUUACUUCAAAAGUUCACUAUUCUCUAAUAACUGACCCUAAAGAUAUUGAAAUAGGUAAAGUGCCCAAUAAAGAAUUCAAAAAGAUGAUUUUUAAAAGACCAAUGAAUUACAAAAGAACACAGAAAAAAAACUGAGUGAAAUUAGACAAUGCAGGGCA
rnacentral:lncRNA from 1 species